rnacentral:rRNA from 1 species
UGGCUCAGGAUGAACGCUAGCGACAGGCUUAACACAUGCAAGUCGAGGGGCAGCACAGGUAGCAAUACCGGGUGGCGACCGGCGCACGGGUGAGUAACGCGUAUGCAACUUGCCUAUCAGAGGGGGAUAACCCGGCGAAAGUCGGACUAAUACCGCAUGAAGCAGGGAUCCCGCAUGGGAAUAUUUGCUAAAGAUUCAUCGCUGAUAGAUAGGCAUGCGUUCCAUUAGGCAGUUGGCGGGGUAACGGCCCACCAAACCGACGAUGGAUAGGGGUUCUGAGAGGAAGGUCCCCCACAUUGGUACUGAGACACGGACCAAACUCCUACGGGAGGCAGCAGUGAGGAAUAUUGGUCAAUGGCCGAGAGGCUGAACCAGCCAAGUCGCGUGAGGGAUGAAGGUUCUAUGGAUCGUAAACCUCUUUUAUAAGGGAAUAAAGUGCGGGACGUGUCCCGUUUUGUAUGUACCUUAUGAAUAAGGAUCGGCUAACUCCGUGCCAGCAGCCGCGGUAAUACGGAGGAUCCGAGCGUUAUCCGGAUUUAUUGGGUUUAAAGGGUGCGUAGGCGGCCUUUUAAGUCAGCGGUGAAAGUCUGUGGCUCAACCAUAGAAUUGCCGUUGAAACUGGGAGGCUUGAGUAUGUUUGAGGCAGGCGGAAUGCGUGGUGUAGCGGUGAAAUGCAUAGAUAUCACGCAGAACCCCGAUUGCGAAGGCAGCCUGCCAAGCCAUUACUGACGCUGAUGCACGAAAGCGUGGGGAUCAAACAGGAUUAGAUACCCUGGUAGUCCACGCAGUAAACGAUGAUCACUAGCUGUUUGCGAUACACUGUAAGCGGCACAGCGAAAGCGUUAAGUGAUCCACCUGGGGAGUACGCCGGCAACGGUGAAACUCAAAGGAAUUGACGGGGGCCCGCACAAGCGGAGGAACAUGUGGUUUAAUUCGAUGAUACGCGAGGAACCUUACCCGGGUUUGAACGCAUUCGGACCGAGGUGGAAACACCUUUUCUAGCAAUAGCCGUUUGCGAGGUGCUGCAUGGUUGUCGUCAGCUCGUGCCGUGAGGUGUCGGCUUAAGUGCCAUAACGAGCGCAACCCUUGCCACUAGUUACUAACAGGUGAAGCUGAGGACUCUGGUGGGACUGCCAGCGUAAGCUGCGAGGAAGGCGGGGAUGACGUCAAAUCAGCACGGCCCUUACAUCCGGGGCGACACACGUGUUACAAUGGCGUGGACAAAGGGAGGCCACCUGGCGACAGGGAGCGAAUCCCCAAACCACGUCUCAGUUCGGAUCGGAGUCUGCAACCCGACUCCGUGAAGCUGGAUUCGCUAGUAAUCGCGCAUCAGCCAUGGCGCGGUGAAUACGUUCCCGGGCCUUGUACACACCGCCCGUCAAGCCAUGGGAGCCGGGGGUACCUGAAGUCCGUAACCGAAAGGAUCGGCCUAGGGUAAAACUGGUGACUGGGGCUAAGUCGUACAA